rnacentral:rRNA from 1 species
GACGAACCGUGCGAACGUUAUUCGGAAUCACUGGGCUUAAAGCGCGUGUAGGCGGACCGGCACGUCGGUCGCUGAAAUCCCCCGGCUCAACCGGGGAAGCGGCGCCGAUACGACCGGCCUGGAGGGGCGUAGGGGGACCGGGAACUUCCGGUGGAGCGGUGAAAUGCGUUGAGAUCGGAAGGAACGCCCGUGGCGAAAGCGCGGUCCUGGACGCCAGCUGACGCUGAGACGCGAAAGCCAGGGGAGCGAACGGG